rnacentral:rRNA from 1 species
GACGUAGGGCGCAAGCGUUGUCCGGAUUUAUUGGGCGUAAAGAGCUCGUAGGCGGCUUGUCGCGUCGACUGUCGAAAAACCACGACUCAACCGUGGGACUGCAGUCGAUACGGGCAGGCUAGGGUUCGGUAGGGGAGACUGGAAUUCCUGGUGUAGCGGUGAAAUGCGCAGAUAUCAGGAGGAACACCGGUGGCGAAGGCGGGUCUCUGGGCCGAUACUGACGCUGGAGGGGCGAAAGCGUGGGGAGCGAACAGGA